rnacentral:rRNA from 1 species
GACGGAAGGUGCAAGCGUUGCUCGGAAUCACUGGGCGUAAAGGGUGCGUAGGCGGCCGUGCAAGUCUGGCGUGAAAGCCCCGGGCUCAGCCCGGGAAGUGCGCUCGAAACUGCGCGGCUCGAGUGCCGGAGGGGAGAGUGGAAUUCCUGGUGUAGCGGUGAAAUGCGUAGAUAUCAGGAGGAAUACCGGUGGCGAAGGCGGCAUCCCGGACCAAUACUGACACUGAGGAGCGAAAGCCAGGGGAGCAAACGGG